AGAACGAACGCUGGCGGCAUGCCUAACACAUGCAAGUCGAACGAGACCUUCGGGUCUAGUGGCGCACGGGUGCGUAACGCGUGGGAAUCUGCCCAAAGGUUCGGAAUAACUCAGGGAAACUUGAGCUAAUACCGGAUGAUGUCGCAAGACCAAAGAUUUAUCGCCUUUGGAUGAGCCCGCGUAGGAUUAGCUUGUUGGUGAGGUAACGGCCCACCAAGGCUUCGACGGGUAGCUGGUCUGAGAGGACGAUCAGCCGGAUUGGGACUGAGAUACGGCCCAGACUCCUACGGGGGGCAGCAAUUAGGAAUCUUGCGCAAUGGGCGAAAGCCUGACGCAGCGACGUCGCGUGAAGGAUGAAAUCUUUCGGGAUGUAAACUUCUUUUUCGGGAAGAAACAAAUGACGGUACCGAAGAAUAAGCCCGCUAACUACGUGCCAGCAGCCGC
rnacentral:rRNA from 1 species